UUGUACCACAACCUGACUCGACCAGGGUAAAUUGGAGUUACCGGGUACCAUCUGUGUCUUUCGUAACUUUAUCAUGCACAAACGAUGCUUUACUUUUUGCUAGCCCUGCUGUCUUUUAUUUUCUGCCCCUGGUCAUCCGUGGAAUGACCCUGAAGAGAUGGACUGUGUUUUAUUGCAGUAUAACAGCCUGUGGAUUUUUCUCCCUGUGCAGAACCCCGAUAAUGGGACGCCAUGCAGGCGAGUAAAUGCCAAGAAAGGGCUGCAAGUAAAUUCACAGCCCUUCUUGUACAACGAUCAAACCAACGUGAAGGCAGUGAUCGGCCCCAUGUUCAGCAGCAUAGCCUUGAGUUUGGGACCCAUUCUGAGUCCCUUUCUUAUGCCACAGGUGAGGGGCGAUGCUUCAGCUACUGUCAGUUUCAGUGGACCCUGACUGCCCUCCUCGGAAGUGAGAGAGACAGUGCAGAGUCUAUCUAAACUGGCAUUGAAAUACUUGAUUUGCAUAGCUUAUCAAGCCAUCCUACCCUAUUACAGCGAAGACACAAGGACUGAAAUGCUACAGAUGAUUAAAGGCAGAGAUGCCCGGCUUUGCCGAGUUCGAAUCUUUCUAUUGAAUCGGAGAACUCUAAGGCCAACGAGGAACCAGUGUGCUAGAGUGAAACUUUCUCCGAGAUCCUCGCCUGUUACCAGGUAUGCGACCAGUGCAGGUCACUGAAUUCUACAGACGUGCCCUCCCUGCUGGAAGCCUUCGAUAUUCAAUGUUCAUUCAAUGUCUACACCGCCGUGUACGCUGUUGCACACGCACUGCACCAGUUACUAGGCUGCAACUCUGGAGAGUAUUAUUAUUCACUGUGGCCUGGUUUACAGUUUCAACAAAAUAAACCCCGUAAACAGCCUGACUAAAUACCGAACUCCAAUUACUUGUAUAUCUUUUGUAAGCCAGCUAUCUUUGUGUAUUCAUAAUUAAUAUACAUUUAUUUAUUUAUUUAUUUUUUAAAUCAGUUGCACUAUUCUCCCAUUAAGUGUGUGAUUCUUUAACCAAAUACUGAAGAAUAUAUACACUCAGAAGUAAGCAGGCUUCUGGUGUAAUCUAUUAUAAAGUUGGAGUCAUCUAUCUUUUUAAAUAUACAGUAAAGAACAUUUAAUGGGUCUACUCUAAACCAUUCUGCUGAUGUAAACCAUCCAGCUACUGCAAGAUUUGCAUCUCGGUUUAACAAUUUCUGAAAUGCAACCGGUCAACUUAUUUCCUGUUAUGGAUGUGUAGCCACACCGGUUGUAUGACAAGACACAUGCAAAUCUUAAACUUUGUGCUUAGAUGUGCUGAUGUCAACUUAGCAGAGAAAGCCAUGCUGUAUGUUAAUCUGCAGAUAAAAUAAUAAGAAAACCUUUACUAUUAUUAUUAUUAUUAUUAAACAUGACUUAUUUUGUUUUA